AGGAGCCGUGUGAAGGGAAACUUUCACGCACGGUUUUGAAGACCAGCCGUAGAGGCGACUCUACGGCUGAGUUUAAU
rnacentral:ncRNA from 1 species